rnacentral:rRNA from 1 species
UACGAAGGGGGCUAGCGUUGCUCGGAUUUACUGGGCGUAAAGGGCGCGUAGGCGGCGGAUCAAGUCAGGCGUGAAAGUCCUGGGCUUAACCUGGGGAUUGCGCUUGAGACUGGUUUGCUUGAGGCCGAGAGAGGGUGGUGGAAUUCCCAGUGUAGAGGUGAAAUUCGUAGAGAUUGGGAAGAACACCGGUGGCGAAGGCGUCCACCUGGCUCGGUCCUGACGCUGAGGCGCGAAAGCGUGGGGAGCAAAC